CCUUGUACAUUACAAAAAAAAAAAAACUUCAUGACACUGAUCUGUUUCCAAAAAUGACUACAAUUUGGGAUUUGCAGAGAUCCUCGGUCAAAGGCUUUGAGAAUCGAGGAAAUCCAUUAAUGCCACAAUUGUCAAGCUGUGGUGUGCGUACUACUGGUUGUAACUGAGCUUCUCUAAAGUGUGGCAUCGGGUGUCUCAGUCCUAUUAACACAACUGUAAUUGCAUUUGAGGAGGAAUGGACGCAUGCAGCCCACAAGGGUACGUUCACACUUGCCUGUACACCCAAGUGCCUUCAACAUAAAUCGAAUUGUAUUACUCAAGCACACAUGGGCGCGGACAUAGUAUACACACUCAUAUAUAGAUGCACGCACGCAUUUAAGACAGACGUUAUGUCGGGGGAAAGGAAAUAAAUGAGCAGAAAAACAAAAUGCAGUAUUUUAGCCGGUGGAUUUAAUUCUAGCGAUCACCGUGUGAGCGCAUGUGUGUCCAUGUUUAUAUGGCAUGGCACAUCUUAAACCAGCGAGCACUGCUCAUUAGCAUGGUAAUAUCCAAACAGCAGGGUGUAGCCAGAACAGCAGCAUAUUAUUAAGAUUCAUCUCAUUAGGCUUUCAUGAGAUUUAAAAGUUAACGCGAAAUAACUUCAAAACUAAGUCUUAGAUAAAACACACACAGCGAGGUCCUGAGUUUACUCUGCACCAGUUCAUUCCCCCCCCCUGGAGACAGUGCACCGCCGCCCUGCAGCAACAUGGAGAGCUGGCCUGCGGUAACAGGAUUAGACAAAAUACUUUUUGUCACACUGAUUUUACUGAUACAUGUUAUCACUUGAAAAACUUGUUUGUUGAAAUUAACCUCUUUUGAACUGUGCUGCAGGACAUAUCGUCACUUUUAUCAAAGGUAGACAGACACCUUGAAUUCUUCCAACAAAUCACAGCUGUAGGUCUCAAGUAUAGUCUGCAUGACAGAAACAGACCUGGCCUGCAGCUCCGAAAAGUCACAGUUUCUAAAAGCCAGAACUGGUUCCAGAAUAAGAUGGAUGACUCCCUGAGAGGUCACCGGACAUCCCAUGAAGCCAACAAACUGCAGCUCUGGACAAUGCUCUGCAACCGCUCGCACUGAACGAUCAGUGACCUGGAGAAGAGAAAAGGGAGCAGGGAGAAGAAAGGGGGGAAGAUAAAGUUUAAAUUAGUAUCCUGAGCACAAAAAAAAUCUUCUCGGGUAAAAUAGCUGAAGUAUAGAAUGUAUGAAGAAUAUUUCUAAAGUGCUCCAUGUUUUCUCUUCAUAUCACCAAUUCUUUUUCAUGUUUUUUCCUUUAGAUUUCAUUCAUUCAGCUCUAUAGGAUCAACAUAAGGCAUUCAUUCAACACAUCUGAGAGAUUUUUUAUCUUUAUACUUUUACAGGUUUUAAAUUGGGAAAGCUGCCAAACACAUUCCUGUUAAGAACAUUUUUCAAAACGAGUGUGUGCAGACAGGUUGCUGUCAGAUUCAAGCAAAAAUGUCAACUCCAUGUGUGCGCGGGUCAGGUGCAUUUUGCUUUUCAUAAACAGCAGAGAAAUAACGAGACGAAGUGGAGCAGGAGGAGGAUAACGCGCAAGCUAAACAGCUAAAAGAGCACGUCUGCCAAGCAGCAAGGACGUCGUCUUAUGAUGGAUGGACUGCUCCCCAUCAUUCACCCAGUCGUCUACUAACAGCUCAUAAUGGAUCAGAGAUCAAUAGGGAAGCAGAACAUUUCCAGCAGCUUCCACUGUAGUCAUCAAUACAGGUAUUGAUAGCUACUUCAACCCCCCUCAUCACACUCAACACUGCAACAAUAUGUGGGAGACUGUUUCUUCCUCUCUGUGGGCUUCCUCAGUGCUUCCUCACACUCCUCAUCAAUCAGAAAGGCAAAAUGAGACGAGAAGAAGAAGAGAGAGCGAAGAGGGAGAAUUGACUCUGAGCUGUGAUUAACUGAGAAAGCAAAGAAAAACAAACAUCAAAGAACAUUAGAGAACAAAAAUCACUUCAUCUCGGCGUCCCUGUCAGAAACCUUCAAUGCUUCUUUUUAAAGAAAUCCCAAAAAGACAGUCAGGCAACAUUUACAUUCAAAUAUAUGCACAAAAA